ensembl:lncRNA
UGAACAUGUCCUGGAUGCAGUCCUGCAGUGCUGAGGUAGCAUCGUCUGGCCAUAUUGCGAUCUGCUUUUGAACAACUGGGGAUGCACGCAAGUAUGUUUGCCUGAAUUUCCAGCAGAUGUUUGACGGCGACAGAUUCGUCACUGCGAUAUUCCAGCGGUCAUAGAUUAAAAACCGUGUUUCACCAGUUGUAUAAAUUGGUAUCAUGCGAAACAACGCGUUUUGAUUCCGCGGUGUCCGUACCUGCGUAUUAUACGCUGUUUUAGGGAAGUUGACCGUACUCUCAUGUCACGCUCACAAACCACGCCCCUUGCACGUGACGCGCGAAAUGCAGCUGGAGGGCAGGAAGGGAUUUUUCCCUCAAUAAAAUCACUAGGAGAAACUCAAAAUGCCUAUGUUUUGCGCUGUUUAUGGAUGCUCAAAUCGGUCCAACCGAGAAAAAACGAAGAGCUUUUAUCGUGUACCAAAAGUUGUUGCUCACAAGGGGGGAAAUUUCAAGGAAUUGACUGAAAAACGUAGGAAAAAGUGGCUUGAAAACCUGCGUCUGCGGUCGGGAGGAGCGGAGUCCGCUAAUGCUCGUGUGUGCAGUGACCACUUUGUCAAAGGCUGCCCUAGUGCUAUAAAUGAUGUUCAGUCUGUAGACUGGGCUCCUACAAUUAACCUCGGUUAUCAGAAAUGUAGGCCCAUGUCGGAAGCAUCGCGUAAACGAACGGAGAGGAUGAAGUCCAGAGACGAUCAACAUGGACACGCAGAAGCUGCAGAGGCCUUGCUGGAUCUCCAUGAGUCAGCUGAGAACACCGAGCAAGAGGACAACACAGAGAUGUUACCUGAUCAACAAGAUGCAGAAUGCCAGACAGACCUAACCAUGGAUGACAUUAGCCCCGUUUCCACCGCAGGAACUUUCCCCAGGAACUAGGGCUUUGGGCGUGUUUCUGCCGCAGGAACCAGGAUCUAAAUAAAGUUCCGGGUAAAAAUUUGCCCCUCAGAAAUUCCCUGCUCCGAGGUAGUAGUACUUUUUCAAAGGUCCGGAACUUUCGGGGGCGGGACUUGUGCGCUGAGCAUGCUGAUUGGUUGAGUUCACGCAACGUUGUAUUUCAACCACCACAUAUUCGCAUGUUUUUGUCAAAUAUUACUGUUAUUGUGUCAUGAAAUGUUGUUUUAAAAGUAUUUCCGGCGAGAAUGUAGUUGGUUAAAACUCAAAUCUGCGGUUUAUUUAUAAAGACUGUUUGAAAAUGUGCUUGGCCGAUUUCGGAGACGUGAGCUCCACGCGAUCAGCGGGCGCUCAGUGCUCAUGUAUCCCGACGAGAGCAGCCUCAACUCUGCUAGUCCUUCUGACAUUUGGCGCUGGCUCUGAUGUCUCUGUUGUGGUUAAACAUUAGAUAUGUGACCCUGGAGCACAAAAGCAGUCUUAAGUCGCUGGGGUAUAUUUGUAGCAAUAGCCAAAAAUACAUUGUGUUGGUCGAAAUUUUUCUUUUAUGCCAAAAUCAUGAGGAUGUUAAGUAAAGAUCAUGUUCCAUGAAGAUAUUUUGUAAAUUUCCUACUGUAAAUAUAUCAAAACUUAAUUUUUGAUUAGUAAUAUGCAUAAGUAAUAUACUUCAUUUGGUCAACUUUAAAGGUGAUUUUCUCAAUAUUUAGAUUUUGUUUUAACCCUCAGAUUCCAGAUUUUCAAAUAGGUGUGUCUCAGCCAAAUGUUGUCCUAUCCUAACAAAUCGAAAAAUUGACACUUAAGACUUAGGUUUUGUGGUCCAGGGUCACACAUAAUUCGUUUUGGGUAAAGCUAACAGGUAAUAUUUUCAUUGUAAUGUAUGUAUUUUCCCUGAACUACAUUUAUGCGGCUAUUAAUGUGUUUAAAUGAAAACGAAAAGAGGCAGUGGUGUUUGAUAUCAUAUUUCGUCUUAUUGUAAAUACACAUGGUCAAACUAUAAGCAUCACCACACUGUUAAGUUUCUUAUCGGUAUUGCUCCCCAAGGGUAUGUUUCUUGCAUAUUACUAACUCUUCUUCCCCAAGCAGAAGAUAAGCAAACUACAGAAGAGAGUGACCUUCUAAAAAAAACCUGUUACCUGGCGAUAUUGUUCUAGCAGACCGUGGGUUUAAUGUUGGGGAUAGUGUAGGAUUCUACUGUGCUUCACUACAGUUACCUGCAUUCACUAAGGGGAAAAGACAGUCGUCCGCAGACGAGGUGGAACAAACUAGAGAAAUAGCUUAUUUGCGUAUUCAUGUAGAAAGGGUUAUUGGAUUAGUUAGAAGGAAAUAUCAGAUUCUGCAAAGUAGGGCCAUGCCCAUCGAACACAUGGCAACAAAACCAGGUGAGUCACUGUCUUUGAUAAGAUUGGAGUUAUUUGCUGUGCCUUGUCAAAUUUAUCAGAGUCCGUGGUCCUACUGGAGUAAGAAAUUAUGAAACUGAAAUAAUGAACUUCUGAUCAUUAAAUGUCAUGAUUUGAAAUGGUCAUGAAAUGAAAAAACUUUGGAUGUUAAUGAUGAUAUAUAAUAUUUUGGUAUACUACUUAAUAAUAGCAUAACAGUACACUAUGUUUUUAGUGAAUUUUGUAUAUAACCUAAGGGCUAAAUUCAAUCAAAUCUACUGUGGUGUCAUGCAAAGUUCCCCACGUACAAAUAAAUACCAAAUUAACUGUAAUUAGUUGGGUUAGACCAGGGGUAGGCAAGUUCGGUCCUAGAGAGCCGCAGUCCUGCAGAGUUCAGCUCCAACCCUGAAAAAAAACCUCACCUGCCUAUAGCCUUAGUAAUCCUGAAGACAUUGAUUAGCUUGUUCAGGUGUGUUUGAUUAGGGUUGGAGCUGAACUCUGCAGGACUGCGGCUCUCUAGGACCGAACUUGCCUACCCCUGGGUUAGACAAAGGACAAUUGAUCUAGCCUCAGUGUGGACACGAAGAUAUAAAAAUGCAGUGCUCUGCCAUGCGCCGCAGUAGCUUUUUUUGAAUUUACCUUCAGACUUUAUUAAAUUCAAUAUAAUUUACAAAGUGCACACUGUUUUAGUUCUUAUAAGUAACCACCAAUACGGUUUCUUGUAUAAUUUAAUAUUUUUUUAUUUUUAUUUAAUCUCCUCAAUAAACAUCUGAUUGCCAACAAAGACACAUUCAUGUUAUUCAGUGCUUUUCUUUUGCAAAAUAUGACUGAAUCAAGUGCCUGAGCUGAUGUAAGGUAGUGUCCUUUAGUUAUAUUACAUGUCAAGAUGUUGUUUUGUAACUUGCUGUCCCAACACUUCUGGAAGUAUACAGUUUCUGAAAAAAUUCUUAACUCUAGGAAUCAGAUCAUCCCAAAAGCCCAUUUCAGGUAUAAUCCUUUAAAAAAAAAAAAGUUAUUAGAGUUCCACACCACAAAGUCGCAAUACUCAGCAUCCACAGGCUGUGUGAAGCUGUGCCUGGACUUGGUAGUAGUAAGCAUGGCUCCUGUCCAGUGUAACCUCAUCCCAAUCUUUGAUAAGGCAGAAUCCUUUGUCUCCAGCACACAGGUGCAGAUUAACUUUGUCUUGCUUGCAGUGUGGGCACUAACAUUCACAGUAAAAAAUAACAUGUAAACAACUGAUGCGACUAAUUUUUCUUACUUUUUAUUUCACUAAUUUUUAUAUAGUCAUGUGUUUUUGUGACAUUUCGACUACCAAGUCUUGCACAAAAAGGAUAGUAAAAAAAGCCCUGUAAUAACUUUCCACAGUUCUGUCUUUAUAGGAAAGUGAAAUUAUGAUUUUAACAUAUCAAAUAUCUUUUUUUACUGUGUUUAUAAUGAACCGUAAUAUUACCUUUAUCUCACAAAUCCCAGUUCCAUGACAGUCACAUGUGACUAUCCCAUCAGGCGAGGCUCCCAUGUAUGGCUGAAUCCCAAGUGGCCAUACCAUACUUUCAAGCCAGGACCACCUUACAUACAGGAGAAGCCCUCAUGCUCCAGACACAUCAGCCUUUCAUACUCUGCUCUGGCUUGUGCCUCAUGCUUGCACCCAUAACUGUAAAAAGUACACAGAAACAAUCAACAACAAAUUAAAUGGUUAUUUAAUAUUUAGUGUUGAAUUUAGAAACUUUGCAACAUUAUUACAGUUCAAUGGUUUAAAUGUUUACCAUUAUCCUAACCCCUAUACUUAACCCUACCCCUGCCUAACCCUUUUACAAACCCAUACCUUUAUGGAGACCCUUAUGGUAGUC